CGUGGCGUGCCUGGGACUGGGAAAUCUUGUCUAUCUGUGUGUUGCUCCUGAUAUUACUUUCAUAAACUUUGAACAUCAACUCGAUCGAUUGAUCUACUGUUGCCAUUGUUUGGCCAUCUCCUUGUGAAGUCGGGUGUACUUAUCGGUACUCUGAGCUGGAGCGCUGAUGUUUAGAUGCGAUGUCCCAACAAUCUGCCAGUAGGCUACCACAUUACACCUCAGCAGGCACACCAGAGAAGGACCACUCCUGGAUAAGGAUUUGAGCCACUGCCACGACUGCCAUCUCUACACUAUAUUACACACGCCAGCAGAUGUGGGAGGUGGUGAUCAACGUGACCUGUCAGCAGGUGGAGGACUUCCACGGCCCCGCGGACUACUGAUUACUGUGUGUGGCCUAGAGCCACCUGAGGACCUCCAAGAGCUGGCAAGGACACCAUCCGCGUCGCCCAACAUGGACAAACCAAAUCUGACAGGGUGCCCAUCAUCAGCUGCUGUGACGGGCCUUCCAUGGUGUUGCUGUGGUUAUUGCAAGGACAAUCAAAAACUGUUUUAUUUGGUUUAUACAAACCAAAACAAUAUGUAAAUAAACUACACAAUUUGUACUGCUAAAUCCUGAAAUUGUAAGUAGUUAUUAAGUAAUGCCUGUGUGCGUUUGUAUUAAGCACUAUAUAAAAAUACAUUACACAUACGUAAAACCUGUUCUGGCCUUUUCUGUUCAGCAUUAUGAGAAGUCAAAUGGUAAA